AAUAGCAUUAGGAAAAGCUAAAAUCGUGUAAUACCUACCGCCAAUAUUUUUAGAGAAAAUUUUCCCCAACCCGCCAACAGUUAGCCAAAUAUGUAAGAGAAAAACAACACCAAACAAAAAAAAUACUUCAAUUCUCUCGCCAUCCUUCUCUUCUUCUCUUUUCCAAAAACCCUAGCUGCGUUUUUGCCUUACUUCACCACCAUUUCAAUGGCGACAUCAUCAGCUCUCUCUUCACUCUCUUCUCUAUUGGAUCUGGCGUUGCCAAGAAAGUGAAAUCGAAAAGAACGUACUUAGCUGCCGCCGUUCUGGAAUUCUUCGCCGUCGAGGAUCUGUCACUUUCAGCUUGUAUUGAGAAACGACGAGGAGCCAAGCAAGUUGUUUGGUGAUGUGAUGAUUGCAAAGGUCUGAUUUAGCAUAAUAUUUUGUUCAUAGGAAGUUCAAAGUUCACAUAUAUGUGUGUAUGUUCUACUAGCUUAUGGAGAAAGUAUUGUAAAAACAUAAAGGGUUCUGUUUUUUAGAGUUCUCUGUGCACACAAGGUGUUCGACGAAUUGACUGAGACAGAAACCAAGAGAAUUAAAUCUUAGUAAUUUUUUGUAGUGAGGAUUAAGGUUCACGAACUGAGGUUGGUGUGGUACUGUGUGUGUAAAGCCGUAAAUAUGGAAACAUAUUUGAAGUUGUAAUUUGCUGAAAGUUUAUAUCCGUUCAUCCAUCUAGUGCGUGUGUGUGUGUGGCUAAUUCUACCUGACGUUAUAUUUCAUCUUUGAUUGCAUGGUAAAAGUCACAAAACAGCUCAUCUUUCCACCAUCUCCAUCUUUGACUUGGUUUUCCUAGAAUACAACUUUAUUUUUAGACAUAAUGAGCGCUGUUUUGUGACUUGGUUUCACCAAGAAACGUGAAGAGUCAAGUCUCCAAGGAGAAUGCUCGUUUGGCUACUCUUCAGGUGCUCAAGCUUUUACCCUUUUCUAAUUCUCAAUUAUAUUACUUGGACUGAUGACAAUAUUAGGCGAUUUAGCUCUUAAUGUCACUAGCAAUUGGACUUCUUUAGGAAGUGUAAGACUCUUCUGAUAUACAUUGUUGCUGCUGGUAAGCUUUCCAUUAAUAUGUUGUGUUAUACCUUUAUUCCAGUUCACUAUUAAUAAAUAUCUUUGUUCUCAUUGUGGUUCUUUGCUCACACAUCUGGUGUUUCAUGUUGGCACAACAUCUCAAGAGGACCAUGGUAAGUUUUCUAGAAAAAUAAUCAUCUAUGUAACACUUCCACCUCAGAUUCUUUCACAAUUACUAAGUUGAUAAGGUACUCUUCGCUUCUACCUUAUAUCUUAUACAAUCAGCUGGAUAACAACUACGUUGAUUAUGAAAUUUUCAAAGGCUAAUAUAUGGAAAGUUUUCUAGAUUAGUACAAUUGUAAAACUUUACAAGCAUUUUUGCAACAGGUUUCAAAUGGGUUUGUUUCUUUUUACUUGUUUCAACAAUGAGCUUAAUUGUUCUUUCUACCUUCAUCUUUUCAUCUUGGCAGAACCUUAAAGUAUUGUGGAUUGCAAGGAUCAGUUCUUGAUUUGAGAAGGAUAUAAGCACAAGAAGCCUCACUUGGGAAACGAAUGGAAGAAGCCUUUUUUGCUGGUCCAUUUCAGCCAAACCCAUUUUUCUUACUUGUGUAAGAGUUACUUCUUGUUGUUUUCUUGAUCAGUGUUCUUUCAUUUUGUCAUCUUUUGUACUUGGGAUUGUAAAGAAUAUGAUGUUAUGUAAUAUGAAUUUUAUGUA